rnacentral:rRNA from 1 species
AGUGAACGCUGGCGGUAGGCCUAACACAUGCAAGUCGAACGGCAGCACAGUAAGAGCUUGCUCUUACGGGUGGCGAGUGGCGGACGGGUGAGGAAUACAUCGGAAUCUACUUUUUCGUGGGGGAUAACGUAGGGAAACUUACGCUAAUACCGCAUACGACCUACGGGUGAAGGCAGGGGAUCUUCGGACCUUGCGCGAUUGAAUGAGCCGAUGUCGGAUUAGCUAGUUGGCGGGGUAAAGGCCCACCAAGGCGACGAUCCGUAGCUGGUCUGAGAGGAUGAUCAGCCACACUGGAACUGAGACACGGUCCAGACUCCUACGGGAGGCAGCAGUGGGGAAUAUUGGACAAUGGGCGCAAGCCUGAUCCAGCCAUACCGCGUGGGUGAAGAAGGCCUUCGGGUUGUAAAGCCCUUUUGUAGGGAAAGAAAAGCAGCAGGUUAAUACCCCGCUGUUCUGACGGUACCCAAAGAAUAAGCACCGGCUAACUUCGUG